rnacentral:rRNA from 1 species
AGUGAACGCUGGCGGUAGGCCUAACACAUGCAAGUCGAACGGCAGCACAGUAAGAGCUUGCUCUUACGGGUGGCGAGUGGCGGACGGGUGAGGAAUACAUCGGAAUCUACUUUUUCGUGGGGGAUAACGUAGGGAAACUUACGCUAAUACCGCAUACGACCUACGGGUGAAAGCAGGGGAUCUUCGGACCUUGCGCGAUUGAAUGAGCCGCUGUCGGAUUAGCUAGUUGGCGGGGUAUAGGCCCACCAAGGCGACGAUCCGUAGCUGGUCUGAGUGGAUGAUCAGCCACACUGGAACUGAGACACGGUCCAGACUCCGACGGGAGGCAGAAGUGGGGAAUAUUGGACAAUGGGCGCAAGCCUGAUCCAGCCAUACCGCGUGGGUGAAGAAGGCCUUCGGGUUGUAAAGCCCUUUUGUGGGGGAAGAAAAGCAGCAGGUUAAUACCCCGCUGUUCUGACGGUACCCAAAGAAUAAGCACCGGCUAACUUCGU